AACGAACGCUGGCGGCGCGCCUAAUACAUGCAAGUCGAGCGAGAAGGUGUAGCAAUACACUUGUAAAGCGGCGAACGGGUGAGGAAUGCAUGGGUAACCUACCCUCGAGUGGGGAAUAACUAGCCGAAAGGUUAGCUAAUACCGCAUACGUUUCCGGAACUUCGGUUUCGGAAAGAAAGCAAUACCGUGGGUAUUGCGCUCCUGGAUGGGCUCAUGUCCUAUCAGCUUGUUGGUGAGGUAACGGCUCACCAAGGCUUCGACGGGUAGCUGGUCUGAGAGGACGAUCAGCCACACUGGCACUGCGACACGGGCCAGACUCCUACGGGAGCAGCAGUAAGGAAUAUUGCGCAAUGGACGAAAGUCUGACGCAGCGACGCCGCGUGGGGGGACGAAGGUCUUCGGAUUGUAAACCCCUUUCGGGAGGGAAGAUGGAGUGGGUAACCACUUGGACGGUACCUCCAGAAGCAGCCACGGCUAACUUCGUGCCAGCAGCCGCGGUAAU
rnacentral:rRNA from 1 species